rnacentral:lncRNA from 1 species
GUGGUCCACACUGAACUGUUGAAUAUUCACCAAAGCCAGCCCCGAUCAGGGCUGGCACGAGGGUUCUCAACAGCCAGCUUCUGACUCUGACAUCUACGAGUGUCCAGACAGCAAAGACACAGGCCGCGACAUACAGGAGCAGAGGUGCCUAGAACACACUGUCGCCCAAUGCCAGCCAUAAGUGGGGCUAUCUCAGGGUGCGGUGGGUGAAACCGUCCUGCAUCUCAGAGAUCCACAAGGUGGAGGUGGCAGUAGCGCUGGACUCCACUGCUUUGGAGCCUGCCCAGGAGAAGUUGGGAGCCAGCAAGAGUCCUGACAGCAGCACAUUGGCCACCAGAAGACACCCAAAGGGAGAGGAGCGGAAGACCUUCUGGUGUGGGCUGGGCUGCAAUUCACUUGCAGGAGAAACAGCCCGGGUGUGGAGAGGUGGCCAUCCUUGGCAGGAUCCUUUCUAAAGAGCCGAGAAAUCAACAUAGAGCCUCUUCUAUCUGAUUCUCUAACAACUGCAGACCUUCCAUGAGUCAAGCUUUGUGUCAAAAGGACAAAUUAAAAGGCAAGAAAAUAAAAUCUUAAUACCAGGACUUUUGGGGAAAACAAAACAAACAAAAACUCACAUCUAAUUCCAGAUUAUUUCAGGGACCCACACAUUUUGUCCAAAUCUGUGUCUGUUGUUUCUGUGUCCA